rnacentral:ncRNA from 22 species
CACUAAAGCGGAGAUGACAUUCCUCCCUACCCUAACGCCGCCAAAAAUGCUGGCAGCCUGAAGUACAAGGUACAACCGCCACCCGGCUGAUGAUGUCUACGUCCAC